rnacentral:rRNA from 1 species
UACGAAGGGGGCUAGCGUUGCUCGGAAUCACUGGGCGUAAAGCGCACGUAGGCGGAUUGCUAAGUCAGGGGUGAAAUCCUGGAGCUCAACUCCAGAACUGCCUUUGAUACUGGCGAUCUCGAGUUCGGGAGAGGUGAGUGGAACUGCGAGUGUAGAGGUGAAAUUCGUAGAUAUUCGCAAGAACACCAGUGGCGAAGGCGGCUCACUGGCCCGAUACUGACGCUGAGGCACGAAAGCGUGGGGAGCAAACAGG